rnacentral:lncRNA from 1 species
CCCCAAAAGGCCACAGACCCUGGGCUAAGCCCUGCAGCCAGGACUAACAGGCCAUAAAGAUAAAGGAGCACAGGAAACACUGUCCAGACAGGACUGGCAAGCCAUAAAGAAAAGGAAUGCAGGAACCAGCCUGAGUUAAUGGGACUGAUUCAUGGGACGUCUGGCAGGAAGACAUCUCCCCCCAGCUCACUCAGGGCCAUAUUUCAACUAGGUGUCCUCCAGACCCUGAUAAGCCCCUGACUUCUAGCACGUACUCUUUCUGCUUUGUUCUCACUGCUAUGUUUGAAUGAGCCAAUUGUAUGUAACCCCUAGCCUUCUCUAUAUAACCCUCUGACUUUUGAGUUUCGUGGUCGACACCUCUGUCUCCUGCGUGGGAUACGUGUCGGCCCGGAGAUCUCUGUAAUAGGUCUCCGUAAUAAACCUCGCCUUUGCUUAUUACAUCCA